GUAACAUUUCAACCAUAUUGAACUGUGCGUCACAAGAAGACUUAUUUCGUACUCCGUUUUCUUACUGAUGGAGGGGGCAGAGCACAAGUAGAGGAAUAGAUUUUUUUCUUCUGGUUCCACUUUACCUAUGGAAAUCUUCUGAGCAGCAACAGAAGGAGACAUGCCAAACUACAGAGCUUGUCAUGGGCAUCAAGAAACAAGUAGUCUUCCAAAAGUGCUUUUAACUAAAUCAGGUAGUGCAAUGCAAAGUGGAAGAACUGAGUUUUGUCUUGCUGACACCUACUCUGGCUCCAGAACUGUGUAUCUGCAUUGCAUCUUCAGAACAGAACAGAACAGAAUAUAAUAUAGACUAGAACAGAGUAUUUCAGUUAGAAGGGACCUAUAACGAUCAUCCAGUCCAACUGCCUAAACAAUUCAGGCCUGAUUAAAUAUCAACCCCUGUUAUUAAGGGCAUUGUCCAAAUGCCUCUUAGACACUGACAGGUUUGGGGCAUCAACCUUCUCUCUAGGAAGCCUGUUCCAGGGUUUGACCAGCCUCUGGGUAAAGAAAGGAUUCCUAAUAUUAAGUCAGAACCUAGCCUGAUGCAGCUUUGAGCGCUUUCUGCACAUCCUGUCCCUGGACCCUAGGAAGAAGAGCUCAGAACCUCCCUCUCUACCUCCUCCGGAAGCUGUGGAGAGCAAUGAGAUCACGUCAUCUUCAUUUUCUCCAAAGUGAACUUGUCCUAAGUCCUCAUCCACACUGGACAUUCUUUCCAGCCUUUCACUGUCUUUGUCAUCCUCCACUGGAUGCAUUCAAGGACCUUCACAUCCUUCUUAAAUUGUGGAGCUCAGAAGUACAAAUAGUACUCCAGGUGAGGCUCCACCAGUGCUGAGAUCAGUGGGAUCAUCAACUGCUUUGGAGCGACUGGUGAAGCUGUGUUUGAUGCACCCCAGAACGGGAUUUGCCCUCCUGGCUGCCUGCGGUCCCUGCUGACUCCUACCGAAACUGUUGUCAACCAGCACCCCCAGAUACCUUUCUGCAGGGCUGCUCUGCAGCCAGUCCUCUCCAAAUUCAUACCUGUGUGGGGCAUUUCCAAUCCUAUGUGCAGAAUAUGGCAUUUAGACUUGCUAAAUUUAAUCCUGUUAAUCAUUGUCCAAUGAUCCAGUCUAUCUAGAUCCCUCUGUAAAUCCUCUUGUCCCUAA